GGCUCAGAAUGAACGCUGGCGGCGUGCCUAACACAUGCAAGUCGGAUGUGCCCGCAAGGGUGCAUGGCAGACGGGUGAGUAACGCGUGGGGAACCUACCUCUUUGUGGGGAAUAACGUUCCGAAAGGAAUGGUAAUACCGCAUGAGACCAUCGGCUGGGAUGCCGGUGGUGAAACCCAGGGACCGCAAGGCCUGGGGCAAGGAGAGGGUCCUGCGUCUGAUUAGCUAGUUGGCGGGGUAACGGCCCACCAAGGCAUCGAUCAGUAGCCGGCCUGAGAGGGUGAUCGGCCACACUGGAACUGAGACACGGUCCAGACUCCUACGGGAGGCAGCAGUGGGGAAUUUUGCGCAAUGGGCGAAAGCCUGACGCAGCAACGCCGCGUGGGUGAUGAAGGUCUUCGGAUCGUAAAACCCUGUCGUCAGGGACGAAGGUUGCAUGUCGAACAGAUGUGCAGCUUGACGGUACCUGGAGAGGAAGCCCCGGCUAACUCUGUGCCAGCAGCCGCGGUAAUACAGAGGGGGCAAGCGUUAUUCGGAAUUAUUGGGCGUAAAGGGCGCGUAGGCGGUGUCUUAAGUGAGAUGUGUAAUCCCCGAGCUUAACUUGGGAACUGCAUCUCAGACUGGGGCGCUAGAGUACUGGAGAGGGUGGUAGAAUUCCACGUGUAGCGGUGAAAUGCGUAGAGAUGUGGAGGAAUACCAGUGGCGAAGGCGGCCACCUGGACAGUAACUGACGCUGAGGCGCGAAAGUGUGGGGAGCAAACAGGAUUAGAUACCCUGGUAGUCCACGCUGUAAACGAUGAACACUUGGUGUGGUGGGAGUUGACCCCUGCCGUGCCGGAGCUAACGCGAUAAGUGUUCCGCCUGGGGAGU
rnacentral:rRNA from 1 species